GCUGGUAUAGUUUAGUUUGGUUAAAACAUACCUCUCAUGUGGGUAAAAUAUAGGUUCAAAUCCUUUUACCGGCU
rnacentral:tRNA from 1 species